GUGCACGCUGGCGGCAGGCCUAACACAUGCAAGUCGAGCGGCAGCGGGUCCUUCGGGAUGCCGGCGAGCGGCGGACGGGUGAGGAAUGCAUCGGAAUCUGCCCUGUCGUGGGGGAUAACCUAGGGAAACUUAGGCUAAUACCGCAUACGACCCACGGGUGAAAGCGGGGGAUCGCAAGACCUCGCGCGAUAGGAUGAGCCGAUGUCCGAUUAGCUAGUUGGCGGGGUAAAGGCCCACCAAGGCGACGAUCGGUAGCUGGUCUGAGAGGAUGAUCAGCCACACUGGGACUGAGACACGGCCCAGACUCCUACGGGAGGCAGCAGUGGGGAAUAUUGGACAAUGGGCGCAAGCCUGAUCCAGCCAUGCCGCGUGGGUGAAGAAGGCCUUCGGGUUGUAAAGCCCUUUUGUCCGGGAAGAAAUCGUCUGGGCUAAUACCCCGGGCGGAUGACGGUACCGGAAGAAUAAGCACCGGCUAACUUCGUG
rnacentral:rRNA from 1 species